GUUGGUGGCUAGAGCGGUGAGGGUACACCCGGUCCCAUCUCGAACCCGGAAGUUAAGCUCACCAGCGCAGAUGGUACUGUCGGGGCGACCUGGUGGGAGAGUAUGCCGCUGCCAACG
rnacentral:rRNA from 1 species